rnacentral:rRNA from 1 species
GACGAACGCUGGCGGCGUGCCUAAUACAUGCAAGUCGAGCGAAUCUUUAGGAGCUUGCUCCUAAAGGUUAGCGGCGGACGGGUGAGUAACACGUGGGCAACCUGCCUAUAAGACUGGGAUAACUUCGGGAAACCGGAGCUAAUACCGGAUAAUUCCUUUCCUCUCAUGAGGAAAGGCUGAAAGACGGUUUCGGCUGUCACUUAUAGAUGGGCCCGCGGCGCAUUAGCUAGUUGGUGAGGUAACGGCGCACCAAGGCAACGAUGCGUAGCCGACCUGGAAGGGUGAUCGUCCACCCUGGGAAGGAGACACGGGCCAGGCUCCUACGGGAGGCAGCAGUAGGGAAUCUUCCGCAAUGGACGAAAGUCUGACGGAGCAACGCCGCGUGAGUGAUGAAGGUUUUCGGAUCGUAAAACUCUGUUGUUAGGGAAGAACAAGUACGAGAGUAACUGCUCGUACCUUGACGGUACCUAACCAGAAAGCCACGGCUAACUACGUGCCAGCCGCCGCAGUAACAC